rnacentral:rRNA from 1 species
AAUAGAUACCCAGGUAGUCCACGCCGUAAACGAUGAGUGCUAAGUGUUGGAGGGUUUCCGCCCUUCAGUGCUGCAGCUAACGCAUUAAGCACUCCGCCUGGGGAGUACGGUCGCAAGACUGAAACUCAAAGGAAUUGACGGGGGCCCGCACAAGCGGUGGAGCAUGUGGUUUAAUUCGAAGCAACGCGAAGAACCUUACCAGGUCUUGACAUCUCCUGACCGCCCUGGAGACAGGGUCUUCCCUUCGGGGACAGGAUGACAGGUGGUGCAUGGUUGUCGUCAGCUCGUGUCGUGAGAUGUUGGGUUAAGUCCCGCAACGAGCGCAACCCUUGGUUCUAGUUGCCAGCAUUCAGUUGGGCACUCUAGAGCGACUGCCGGCGAUAAGUCGGAGGAAGGUGGGGAUGACGUCAAAUCAUCAUGCCCCUUAUGACCUGGGCUACACACGUGCUACAAUGGAUGGUACAAAGGGCAGCGAAGCGGCGACGCAUGAGCGAAUCCCAGAAAACCAUUCUCAGUUC